UCUCAGGGUUGUGAGUUUGAACCCCAUAUUGGGUAUAGAGACUACUUAAAGAUAAAUUUUUAAAAUUAUGCUUACAAACAAAAUUAUGCUUAUAUUUGAUAAAAGGCUUGAUAAGAAGACAUUUGAGUGGUUACUGACUGUAAGUAACAAAAAAAGAGUUGUGGGUUUGAGUGAAGCAAAGCAUCCUGCAAAAUUGGGCGGUUGGUGGCAAUGCUUUCAUUAUCAUUGAAAAGCCCAUAUUUAUGUGUGCACGUCCACAUGAGGAUCUGAGUUACCCAGUCACACUGAAAGGAUGUUGGACAGAUGCUGGAUGAAGAUGACCCCUGAUACAGAGCACCUGGUGAUUUUUUGGGAGAUAAAGUGAAAACCUGUGGGAAUGGGCUGAGCUGAGAUCACAACAUACGAGACAGACCUCAGAGAGCAAACCGAGAGAACAGGGCUGGUCACACAGGUCAUAUCACAAAGAAUGACUGGUGUGAUAAAGAACUCACGAUGACCACUAGACCUUCAAUACGCCUGUCAUGGGAAGUCAAAAUCAUAUGAUUUAAUUCUCUAAAGGAAGAGUAGGGUCCCUGAAGGUGAAAAAUUAGUGCUGAGAAAAAUACCCUAGUCACUGCUCCUGUGGAUGGCUGUGUUCAGGUUACCCUUACAACAAUGUGACGGCCCAAGUGCCAGAGCUCUACAAAUCCCACCGGAGGGGCUGUCAGGGCAUUCAGUUUAUAAUG